rnacentral:lncRNA from 1 species
CAGUCAAGCAUGAAACUGAAUCUGAGCAGGAAAAGAAGAAAGCUGAAAACACACUGAGGAUUAUGGGAGAGGGGCAAGUGCAUGAAGCUUCUCAAUGACAUACAGACACUCUAAAAGCUCAAGAGAUCAAUUAUUCAACUUCAAGAACUGAAAUUUGAACACAGAUUUUGAGCUUCCAAAUCAGGAGAAAAAGAAGUGUUCUAUAAGAAGUUUGGACAAGACUCUGCAAGAAGUUAAGAGCAAAGUUAUUUUGAGAUUCAUCUAUAUUAUGUAUAUUAGUGGU